AACAGAAGGAAUACUCGCUGUUUCUCUCUCGUUUAUCCACCCCAUCGCUCUCUCUCUCACUCUCUCUCAUUCUCCAUCCCAUCCAGAUCCCGCCGCCCCAACCCUCUCACCCUUCCCAUCCACAGGGAGCCCCGCCUUUUCCCGGCGAGUCGCACCGCCCCAACCCUCUCCCACCCUCAUCUCGUAGCUCCCCUUCCCUUCAUCAUGCUCGGGCUCCCUCCCUCUUCUGCGGCCUGGACCCAUGUGCUUGGCGGAGCCGUGGCGGGGGAGCUUUACCGGCUACGUCGUCGUGGGUUCACCGGAGUGAAACGCCGGACUUUUUCGGGAGAAGACGCUGUUGCGACGCCUCUCUGCCAUCACCGGUGCUGCCAUUUUCGUCGGGCGUCGUGUGCGACCCACAACAUUGGGGACACACCAGUUUCGUCGGUCGAUUCAGACCCAACUCCAUCCCCGCUUCUUCCCUCGAGCCAGCGAUAGCUGUUCUAUUCCAUCCCCGUUUAAUUUUGAGUACUGGAGUCCAAGGCGAGCGCAACUAUGGCAGGGAAUGAGUUUGAGUAGGUGCGUGGGAUGAAUCCAUCAAUUAUUGUAUUUGGCCUGCUCUCCCAAGCUGCUGCCUCGAGGUCGCCAUACUUCGCAAAAAUCAUGACGGUGCUGCGUUGUGCUCACCAUGCCCAGAAAUUGGGGGUCACGAGGAGGAAGACAAUGGCACGCACGAGGAAAUUAGAGACGGCGGUGGCACCAAACAUUACUUGAGCCUGAUCGUUUUUUUUGCUAGCUUAGCGUUUUGCUUUCAUAGGUUUGGAGCUCUAAAUUUAAGCUUUUCGUCUGAAUCUUCAUUUGAUCCACAGGCUUCUGAUCGUUCUGAACAAAUGCUUCAACUCUUUGUUGUUUCAUUUGAUUUUUGGAAGUUCAUUAGAUUUUGGUAAGUUGUUUGAUUUCCCUUAAUCGAUUUCUGAAUCUCCUCCCUUCUUUAGUGGAGCUCCCUGCAAGUGUUGUUUUAAUUCAUGGUUAAAUUCUAUUUUGGUGUUGGCUGUUGAGAAUAUCAGAUGAGACAAGCAAUGGAAUGGACUGUGUGGACAAUCACAGGAAUGGUGUUCCGUGGAUAGGUCAUGUGUUGGAGAGGGAACGACACGUUGCAGCAGCGAGAGGUCUUGCCUCUUUUCUGCUGUUCUUGCUUCUCCCCUAUGAUUUUUUAGUUGGUUGUCUUGGAGAGGAAACGACAAGCUGCAGCAGCCAGAGUAGUAGGAGAAGCAGCUUCAACUCCCACGACAUGUUCUACAUUUUUCUGCACUGAUGUAUUUGUUAUGGUCCAACUGAAUUAGUUUUGACUGCAUCUUAUUCUCUGUAGUCUCUGAGAUUUGUUCUCUAGUUCAAACUGUGCGUCAACUGUUCAAAUGAAUGUCUUAAUUAAAAGAACACUGUUUGAUGGAAUGCCAGAAAAGAAUGCACGUCUUUUUCCUGGCUAAAAAUUCGUUCAGAGUGUUCUGUUUUUUCUAUCUGGUAAAUUUCAUUGGCCUCAGAGUUGAUUCCCUCUUUUAAUUCAUUUGGUGUGGUUUUCUAAAUGAAGAAGCAGAACCAUUUUGGUUGUUAUUCACUACUGCUCCUCAUGGUCCAUUCCCUUGGAUUUGGAAAGCGGAUUUGAUGUUGGAUUUGUUGAAAUAGCCACUGGCGAGGCAGUGCUUGAUUUCGUGAACAUCAACACUUUUUUUCAUACUGAGAACUUGGCAACAUCAGCAUGAGUUCUUCCCUUAACUUCUCUUUCUUUCCAAUGGACUUCUUAUUGCGGCUAUUAUGGACAAUGAGAGGGCUUCUGCGAUUUUCUGUUCGUGAGUUUGGAGAUCAGUUCCCCACGACCCGCACCAUGGAUCGGUAAUGGAUUUUUUUUUGUUGCAGUCAAGGUGUUUGACCUCCACCUCCCCCGCCUGAUACAGGGCUCGAUGCUGCUAUAAAAUCCCGUGCGAAAUUUCCGAUUCAUGGAGCUAGCUACAACCGAACCAGGUGAUGAAAAGCACCUGAUGAUCCCACUCCGGCGCCUGGUAACUAGGCUCACUAGGAUAGCCCCCAUGGAGACGUCUUGGCAGUUGCGGCCAGCAUUUGUUUGUGUUGAUGCCUGAAUGAAAACAACAUGAUGGGCUCUGAGUUUGGACUUGGGCAUGGCCGCCGUGCAGUCCGCCACCGCUGUCUCCCCCUCUGCGUCAGCAUCCCGUCUCCUGCAGGACCAUGGCCUCCGCAGCGCCGGCGUCAUCGAGCACAGCAAUGCCGACGCCACUGGGGCGUGUAGUAUACUGGAGGCUCUGUGUCAUACGAGUAGAUCAUCCAAGAUGGUUCCCACUUGCACAUCAAUGUUCACAAGUACUUGCAGUACUAGUUUGUUUUAGGCUGCUGCUGUAAUCAACUAUGUGCUUCCUAGUCAUUUUCUGCAUCGUAUUGAACAUUAUUUAGUUUAAUGUAUGGCAUGAAACUAUUUUCACCAGCCUUGUUGCCUUCCA